rnacentral:rRNA from 1 species
CAGCAGCCGCGGGAAAACCAGCACCUCGAGUGGUCAGGAGGUUUAUUGGGCCUAAAGCAUCCGUAGCCGGUUGCAUAAGUUUUCGGUUAAAUCUAUGCGCUUAACGUAUAGGCCGCCGAAAAUACUGUGCAGCUAGGGAGUGGGAGAGGUACACGGUACUCGAUAGGAAGGGGUAAAAUCCUUUGAUCUAUUGAUGACCACCUGUGGCGAAGGCGGUGUACCAGAACACGUUCGACGGUGAGGGAUGAAAGCUGGGGGAGCAAACCGGAUUAGAUACCCGCGUAGUCCCUGUCUCUUAUAC